rnacentral:rRNA from 1 species
GAUGAACGCUAGCGGGAGGCCUAACACAUGCAAGCCGAGCGGUAGAGAUCUUUCGGGAUCUUGAGAGCGGCGUACGGGUGCGGAACACGUGUGCAACCUGCCUUUAUCUGGGGGAUAGCCUUUCGAAAGGAAGAUUAAUACCCCAUAAUAUGUUGGAUGGCAUCAUUCGACAUUGAAAACUCCGGUGGAUAGAGAUGGGCACGCGCAAGAUUAGAUAGUUGGUGAGGUAACGGCUCACCAAGUCUGCGAUCUUUAGGGGGCCUGAGAGGGUGAUCCCCCACACUGGUACUGAGACACGGACCAGACUCCUACGGGAGGCAGCAGUGAGGAAUAUUGGACAAUGGGUGAGAGCCUGAUCCAGCCAUCCCGCGUGAAGGACGACGGCCCUAUGGGUUGUAAACCUCUUUUGUAUAGGGAUAAACCUACUCUCGUGAGAGUAGCUGAAGGUACUAUACGAAUAAGCACCGGCUAACUCCGUGCCAGCAGCCGCGGUAAUACGGAGGGUGCAAGCGUUAUCCGGAUUUAUUGGGUUUAAAGGGUCCGUAGGCGGAUCUGUAAGUCAGUGGUGAAAUCUCACAGCUUAACUGUGAAACUGCCAUUGAUACUGCAGGUCUUGAGUGUUGUUGAAGUAGCUGGAAUAAGUAGUGUAGCGGUGAAAUGCAUAGAUAUUACUUAGAACACCAAUUGCGAAGGCAGGUUACUAAGCAACAACUGACGCUGAUGGACGAAAGCGUGGGGAGCGAACAGGAUUAGAUACCCUGGUAGUCCACGCCGUAAACGAUGCUAACUCGUUUUUGGGCUUUCGGGUUCAGAGACUAAGCGAAAGUGAUAAGUUAGCCACCUGGGGAGUACGAACGCAAGUUUGAAACUCAAAGGAAUUGACGGGGGCCCGCACAAGCGGUGGAUUAUGUGGUUUAAUUCGAUGAUACGCGAGGAACCUUACCAAGGCUUAAAUGGGAAAUGACAGGUUUAGAAAUAGACUUUUCUUCGGACAUUUUUCAAGGUGCUGCAUGGUUGUCGUCAGCUCGUGCCGUGAGGUGUUAGGUUAAGUCCUGCAACGAGCGCAACCCCUGUCACUAGUUGCCAUCAUUAAGUUGGGGACUCUAGUGAGACUGCCUACGCAAGUAGAGAGGAAGGUGGGGAUGACGUCAAAUCAUCACGGCCCUUACGCCUUGGGCCACACACGUAAUACAAUGGCCGGUACAGAGGGCAGCUACACAGCGAUGUGAUGCAAAUCUCGAAAGCCGGUCUCAGUUCGGAUUGGAGUCUGCAACUCGACUCUAUGAAGCUGGAAUCGCUAGUAAUCGCGCAUCAGCCAUGGCGCGGUGAAUACGUUCCCGGGCCU